CGAGAAAACGCCGGAACGACCAGCCUGCGCCCUGCGCCGUCCGCCGUCGCUCCUCGCCGUCCGCCGGCCGCGCCCUGCGUCGCCCGCUUUCUUCCCUCCUCGUCGCCCGGCGUUCCCGCACGGCUAGCCGAUCUCCUCUCCGCGCCGAUCUCCUCCCCCCAUCCCUCGCUCUGCGCCGUCCGCCGCCGCUCCUCGCCGUCCGCCGGCCGCGCCCUGCGCCGCCCCUCCCCGCCGUCCGUCGGCUGCGCCCUGCGUCGCCCGCUCUCUUCCCACCUCGCCGCCCGGCGUUCCCGCACGGCCAGCCGAUCUCCUCUCCCCGCCGAUCUCCUCCCCCCACCCCCCGCCCUGCGCCGUCUGCCGCCGCUCCUCGCCGUCCGCCGGCCACACCCUGCGUCGCCCGCUCUCUUCCCUCCUCGCCGCCCGGUGUUCCCGCGCAUCCAACCAGGCCCAGCACCAUCUGCCGUUGGUGAGGGAGGAGCCGCCACCGUCGACGGCUGCGGGGCUGACGGUGGCGGAGGCGCAGGCGAGGCUGCGCGCAUCGGGAGCCGGCGCCGUGCCGUACGCCGAGUUCCUCCGCCUCUGCUGCGACGCCGCCGGACCGGACGCCGGCACCUCCGUCGCGCGCGUCCUCGAGAGUCCGGAUCCGUCAUCGUGCUCAGCAAGACCGUCUUCCUCAGGCCCUAGAUGAUUUUUUCACCAUAGCCUUGGUUCAGGUUCUAGCAAGAAGCAUUUGAGGCAGCAUAUGAGGAGCUUGCUGGUGAUAAUAUGCAGGCGAGUGAGAUGGCCGUAUCUGAGAUUGCUCGCAUGUCAGUCCACAGUCCACAAGUAUUAGUAUGUCUUAUUCCAAAGGGGUAUUGGACUGGAUCGCACUAGCAACUUUUUCUUUAUGGAGAAAGUGGACAUGAUCAUAGCUUGCGCAUGGCGAAGGUUCCUAGAGAAAACAAGACUGCAAAAGCUUUUCUCAAGAAAAAAAAGUGCUAGGCGAAAAGCAGAUUCCAAUAGAAUGAUGACGUGUGGUCCACCACAGAGGGGGUAUUCCUUCCCUCAUUUCACCUUCCAAUACAAGGAAAUUCUUCAUUCCAAGCGGAGUCUGAAAGUGAGGGAUUUGUCAUCGCUGGCUAGAUUCGUGCUGCGACCCAUCCUCCUCCUAGAUCUGCGCUGCAAGCCCUCCUCGACGGUGAGAUCUGGUUCUCUCCUCUACCUUUCUCACUGGUUAGGAUAUAGGCAUAUCAACACAUCUGCUUCUCUUUGAUGCAUGUGGAGCAUCUGCCAUCCGUAUAGCAAUGCUGCCGCUCUCCAUUGGGUCUGAUGUUUCUUUCUGGCCCCAACUUUUCUUCACUUGCUGAUUUCUUGCAUUAUCAAAUUUCAACCUACAUUGAAGGUUAUAGCUAUUGCUACUGGUAGCUAUGAAAUUAUUUUUUCUGUCCCCUCUCUUUGAUUAGGCCAGCAGUGUCCAGAGUAUAAACAUGUGAAUGUUAUUGCAGUAGCACUAAAAGAAGAUGAAUGAUCAUAUGGAAACAAACAUGAUCAAGGUGGCUAUAUAUAUUCUUAAAUUAUAUCAGUGUAUCAAUUUCAAGAGAACAAUAUACUUCAGUUUUGUGUCCAAUAUCAUGGGUCUCCUUAACAUUUGUCACGAAUGGAUUAGCAAAAGCAGUGGCAAAAGGUUCCAACGAUGAAAUAUGGUGUGCUUACUUUCUUAAUUGUUUC